rnacentral:rRNA from 1 species
UACGUAGGGUGCGAGCGUUGUCCGGAAUUACUGGGCGUAAAGAGCUCGUAGGUGGUUUGUCGCGUUGUUAGUGAAAACUCACAGCUCAACUGUGGGCGUGCGGGCGAUACGGGCAGACUGGAGUACUGCAGGGGAGACUGGAAUUCCUGGUGUAGCGGUGGAAUGCGCAGAUAUCAGGAGGAACACCGGUGGCGAAGGCGGUUCUCUGGGCAUUACCUGACGCUGAGGCACGAAAGCGUGGGGAUCAAACAGG